rnacentral:rRNA from 1 species
AGCGAACGUUAGCGGCGGGCUUAACACAUGCAAGUCGAACGCGAAAGGGCUUCGGCCCCGUAGCGUGGCGUCCGGGUGAGUAACACGUAGGGAAUCUACCCUGAAGUGGGGAUAACGUUCCGAAAGGAACGCUAAUACCGCAUAAGACCACGACGACCACGGUCGUUGAGGUCAAAAGUGGCCUCUGUACACAAGCUAUUGCUUCAGGAUGACCCUGCGGCCCCAUCAGCUAGUUGGUAGGGUAAUGGCCCUACCAAGGGCAAAAUGACGGGGUAGCUGGUCUGAGAGGAUGAUCAGCCACACUGGCACUGAAACNCGGGCCAGACUCCUACGGGAGGCAGCAGUGGGGAAUAUUGGACAAUGGGCGCAAGCCUGAUCCAGCUACGCCGCGUGAGUGAUGAAGGCC